GACUUGGCUUGCAACAAAAAUCACUUUUUCAGUGUGGUGUUAAAGCUUGAAGGAAAAAUGCUCUAAAUUGAUAGAUUUUUUUUUUUUAGUCAAAAAUAUAUAUUUUUGAGCAUUUCAAAUAAGAUUCAAGGAGGCUAGAGGCAAAAGAGUAGAUCACAAGUCCUAGACUUUAGCUUAGACACUGCUAAUAAACCUACAGAGGAAAAGAUAUCCUUCCCAAACUCAUCCACACUGCAGAAAGCCAUUUGCCAACCCGUCUGCCUCAUUUAAUGCCCCCCCCCCCCAGGUCUAUCCACAGCAGCACAUGGAGAACUAGUGCCUGAGCCACCAGCACAUAGACCAACAAGUGAGCAUCUUAAUUACUCACCCGUGAUGUCCUCUUUCUCCAGUUCCGUGGGUGUUCAGGUCUUCCUGCUGAGUGCAAGUGCUCUGCCAGGAUCUAUCUCUCAAAUUCAACUUAAAAUGGAAAACCAUAGAAUCACAGAGCCAUUAAGGUUGGAAAAGACCUCUAAGACCACCCAGCCCAACCAGCAGCCCAUCACACCGUGCCCACUGCCCAUGGCCCUCAGUGCCACAUCCACACGGCUCUGGAACACCUCCAGGGACGGCUGGAUGGGGCUCUGAGCAACCUGAUGUAGCUGCAGGUGUCCCUGCUCAUUGCAGGCAAGUAAGAAUAGAUGGCCUUUAAGAGUCCCUUCCAACUCCAUUCUAUAUUCUAUGAAAAUGUACAAGCAUGAUAAUAAUGUGUAAUACCCCGGCCCUGUGUAAUACUUUAUAUUGGGAGUAGCUCUGCAGCUGUUUUGGAAAUGUUUUACUUCUCCUGGUGAGCACAGUGGCUUCAAUGAACAGUUCAGUGUUUGUGGACAGCCCCCUGGAGAAGGGGAUCCAGUUUGUAGGAGUGAGGUGGGGCCCAUCCUGAGCAGGAGCAGCACCCCAGGGAAGCAGACAGUGUUCAGGGGCCUGAGGUUUGUGCAGGUGCUCCUUCAGCACUGACUGGAUCACUGGAGACAGCUCACAUCCCAAAGGGCUGCUAUUCUUUAUUUCUGGGCUGGGACAAAGGGCUUCUGUGUUCCAAACCAAGCAAAGGUUCAGAUGAUACAAGACAAAAGGGUCAGCUCAGGUGAUGAGUGUAUUUCUAGCUCAGCUCUUUCAUUAACUUUUUCUGCAUUGCAAUGUUUCUUUCUUGUACACUGAGCAUUUCCACUCAGAAAUAAUAUUCAAGCAUGCUCAGGGUGACCUGGUUCCGCACUGCGCUUCCAGGCAGCACAGCUGGGUGGGCUGUGGGAAGGCAGAGGAACAUGCUAGCAUCUUGGCCAGGCUCACAAGUCCAGCAAACCCUAAGCCUGUUUUAGAUGCCUGUGCUAGCCCUUGCAGGCUUGGAGCACCCUGCUCUGUAAGCGGCGUUGAGCCAGCACUGUGUCAGUAGGCCCCAGUACUGAGUAGGCCCCAGUGCUCCCAGCACUGCAGCCUGGCACUGUGUGUCAGUAGGCCCCAACACUCCCAGCACUGUGACCUGGCACUGUGUGUCAGUAGGCCCCAACGCUCCCAGC
ensembl:lncRNA